GAGCAAAUCCAUCUCAGCAGUUUGGUGGAGAUGAGGGUCUGGGGCAGUGGGAAUAUGGGUGGAGAGACUCUCUGGAAGCAGAAUCAUCAGAUUUGGUGAUUGAUUACAGGUGGGGAGUGAGGGUGGGGGCAAAGAGGACACUAAGUCUACAGCUUGGAGCCAGCCAAGGCAGAAGGGUGGCUGGCUGGGAGGGAGGAGGACAAGGAC
rnacentral:lncRNA from 1 species